UCCUCAGUAGCUCAGCGGUAGAGCAACCGGCUGUUAACCGGUAGGCCGUAGGUUCAAAUCCUACCUGGGGAGCCA
rnacentral:tRNA from 1 species